rnacentral:rRNA from 1 species
UGGACGAAAGUCUGACGGAGCAACGCCGCGUGAGUGAUGAAGGCUUUCGGGUCGUAAAACUCUGUUGUUAGGGAAGAACAAGUACAAGAGUAACUGCUUGUACCUUGACGGUACCUAACCAGAAAGCCACGGCUAACUACGUGCCAGCAGCCGCGGUAAUACGUAGGUGGCAAGCGUUAUCCGGAAUUAUUGGGCGUAAAGCGCGCGCAGGCGGUUUCUUAAGUCUGAUGUGAAAGCCCACGGCUCAACCGUGGAGGGUCAUUGGAAACUGGGGAACUUGAGUGCAGAAGAGAAAAGCGGAAUUCCACGUGUAGCGGUGAAAUGCGUAGAGAUGUGGAGGAACACCAGUGGCGAAGGCGGCUUUUUGGUCUGUAACUGACGCUGAGG